rnacentral:rRNA from 1 species
CAAUAGCGUAUAUUAAAGUUGUUGCGGUUAAAAAGCUCGUGGUUGGAUUUCUGCUGAGAACGACCGGUCCGCCCUUUGGGUGUGUAUCUGGCUCUUUCUUGGCAUCUUCUUGGUGAACGUUGCUGCACUUGACUGUGUGGAGCGCUACCCAGGACUUUUACUUUGAGGAAAUUAGAGUGUUUCAAGCAGGCAUACGCCUUGAAUACAUUAGCAUGGAAUAAUAAGAUAGGACCUCGGUUCUAUUUUGUUGGUUUCUAGAGCUGAGGUAAUGAUUAAUAGGGAUAGUUGGGGGCAUUCGUAUUUAACUGUCGGAGGUGAAAUUCUUGGAUUUGUUAAAGACGGACUACUGCGAAAGCAUUUGCCAAGGAUGUUUUCAUUGA